GACGAACGCUGGCGGCGUGCUUAACACAUGCAAGUCGAACGGAAAGACCCUGCUUUUGUGGGGUGCUUGAGUGGCGAACGGGUGAGUAACACGUGAGUAACCUGCCCUUGACUUUGGGAUAACUUCAGGAAACUGGGGUAAAUACCGGAUAGGCGCUCCUGCUGCAUGGUGGGGGUUGGAAAGUUUCGGCGGUUGGGGAUGGACUCGCGGCUUAUCAGCUUGUUGGUGGGGUAGUGGCUUACCAAGGCUUUGACGGGUAGCCGGCCUGAGAGGGUGACCGGCCACAUUGGGACUGAGAUACGGCCCAGACUCCUACGGGAGGCAGCAGUGGGGAAUAUUGCACAAUGGGCGGAAGCCGGAUGCAGCAACGCCGCGUGCGGGAUGACGGCCUUCGGGUUGUAAACCGCUUUCGCCUGUGACGAAGCGUGAGUGACGGUAAUGGGUAAAGAAGCACCGGCUAACUACGUG
rnacentral:rRNA from 1 species